GCACUGAUGAAGGGUCCAAACUAGGACGAGACAGCUGUCCAGUAC
rnacentral:hammerhead_ribozyme from 1 species